rnacentral:lncRNA from 1 species
UUAUAGUGGUUCGGAGCUAACCUUUGCUCCUACGUCCACUCCCCAAGCCUCACUUGGGAAUUCACUAUAACCCCUCGGAUUACAGCCGGUUGUUUUACAAGCUCACAACCUAACUUGUUGUUUUGCGAGAUCACAACGAACUCGGUCGGUUUUCCCAGGCUCACCGACUAGAACCACUCGAUUGUUUUUCCAGGCUCACAAUCAAACCCUUACACGUUGGUUUCAACCUAGGCUCACCAACAAACCUUUACACCCUUGAUUCA